rnacentral:rRNA from 1 species
AACGAACGCUGGCGGCAUGCCUAACACAUGCAAGUCGAACGAGACCUUCGGGCCUAGUGGCGCACGGGUGCGUAACGCGUGGGAACCUGCCCUUAGGUUCGGAAUAACUCCCCGAAAGGGGUGCUAAUACCGGAUAAUGUCUUCGGACCAAAGAUUUAUCGCCUUUGGAUGGGCCCGCGUUGGAUUAGCUAGUUGGUAGGGUAAAAGCCUACCAAGGCGAGGAUCCAUAGCUGGUCUGAGAGGAUGAUCAGCCACACUGGGACUGGGACGCGGCCCAGACUCCUACGGGAUGCAGCAGUGGGGAAUAUUGGACAAUGGGCGAAAGCCUGAUCCAGCAAUGCCGCUUGAGUGAUGAAGGCCUUAGGGUUGUAAAGCUCUUUUACCCGGGAUGAUAAUGACAGUACCGGGAGAAUAAGCUCCGGCUAACUCCGUG